rnacentral:rRNA from 1 species
UACAGAGGGGGCAAGCGUUGUUCGGAAUUACUGGGCGUAAAGGGCGCGUAGGUGGCCUUCUAAGUUGAACGUGAAAUCCCUGGGCUCAACCCAGGAACUGCGUCCAAGACUGGGAGGCUUGAAUCCGGGAGAGGGAUGCGGAAUUCCUGGUGUAGCGGUGAAAUGCGCAGAUAUCAGGAGGAACACCUAUUGCGAAGGCAGCUCGCUGGGACGUAACUGACGCUGAGACGCGAAAGCGUGGGGAGCAAACAGG